GAUGAACGCUGGCGGCGUGCCUAAUACAUGCAAGUCGAGCGAAAAGACGAGGUGCUUGCUCCUCUGACGUCAACGGCGGACGGGAGAGUAACAUGUGGAUAACCUACCUAUAAGACUGGGAUAACUUCGUGAAACCGGAGCUAAUACCGGGUAACUUAUUGAACCGCAUGGUUCAAUAGCGAAAGCCGGUUUUGCUGUCACUUAUAGAUGGAUCCGCGCUGCAUUAGCGAGUUGGUAAGGUAACGGCUUACCAAGGCAACGAUGCGUAGCCGACCUGAGAGGGUGAUCGGCCACACUGGAACUGAGACACGGUCCAGACUCCUACGGGAGGCAGCAGUAGGGAAUCUUCCGCAAUGGGCGAAAGCCUGACGGAGCAACGCCGCGUGAAUGAAGAAGGUCUUCGGAUCGUAAAACGCUGUUAGUAGGGAAGAACAAAUGUGUAAGUAACUAUGCACGUCUUGACGGUACCUAAUCAGGAAGCCACGGCUAACUACGUG
rnacentral:rRNA from 1 species